rnacentral:rRNA from 1 species
UGCCAGCCGCCGCGGUAAUACGGAGGGUGCAAGCGUUGUUCGGAAUUACUGGGCGUAAAGCGCGCGUAGGCGGUUGUAUAAGUCAGAUGUGAAAGUCCAUGGCUCAACCAUGGAAGUGCAUUUGAAACUGUAUAACUUGAGUACUGGAGGGGGUGGUGGAAUUCCCGGUGUAGAGGUGAAAUUCGUAGAUAUCGGGAGGAAUACCGGUGGCGAAGGCGACCACCUGGCCAGAUACUGACGCUGAGGUGCGAAAGCGUGGGGAGCAAACAGGAUUAGAUA